rnacentral:rRNA from 1 species
GAUGAACGCUGGCGGCGUGCCUAAUACAUGCGAGUCGAGCGAACGGACGAGAAGCUUGCUUCUCUGAUGUUAGCGGCGGACGGGUGAGUAACACGUGGAUAACCUACCUAUAAGACUGGGAUAACUUCGGGAAACCGGAGCUAAUACCGGAUGAUAUUUUGAACCGCAUGGUUCAAAAGUGAAAGACGGUCUUGCUGUCACUUAUAGAUGGAUCCGCGCUGCAUUAGCUAGUUGGUAAGGUAACGGCUUACCAAGGCAACGAUGCAUAGCCGACCUGAGAGGGGGAGCGGCCACACGGGAACUGAGACACGGUCCAGACUCCUACGGGAGGCAGCAGUAGGGAAUCUUCCGCAAUGGGCGAAAGCCUGACGGAGCAACGCCGCGUGAGUGAUGAAGGUCUUCGGAUCGUAAAACUCUGUUAUUAGGGAAGAACAAAUGUGUAAGUAACUAUGCACGUCUUGACGGUACCUAAUCAGAAAGCCACGGCUAACUACGUG